AGCCCAAGUGCCCAUAUGAACCUCUCUGCCCCAGCUGAGGGGAAGACUGUGCUGAAGCCAGAAGGUGCAGAAGCCAGAGUAUGAAGUGGAAUGAAUGCCCUGUUCCGAGAAGCACACUUGUUAUGCACCUGCUCUUUGUCUUCCUGGCCUGUGCUUUUCUACAAUGAGGAUGAUGAGUCUGGACAACAGCCAACCUGGAAGAUUCUUUUCUCUUGGGCAUUGCAGCCAGACUUAGCACAUUUCCCUGCACCUGGAACUGGAAAUGCUGUCAGUGGACUUUGGGCCUUUGGGAAAAGGCACCCUAGAGAGUGUCCACGUGUGAAAAAGGAAGCCUGUUGGGGAAAAAGGCAGACAAUCUGAAAUGCAAAUUAUUAACUCUCCACUUGCAAUUCUCUUGAAGCCUCAGGAGAGCAAUUAACUUGGAUGGUAUCAAAGAAGUCUGCUGGAGGGGCAGGAGUUUGCAGCCAAACCUGUAUUCUUACCUGGGCCCCACUUCUUGUAGCUGUGAAACUUUUGCAACUUA